rnacentral:rRNA from 1 species
UACGUAGGGUGCAAGCGUUUAAUCGGAAUUACUGGGCGUAAAGCGUGCGCAGGCGGUUGUGCAAGACAGAUGUGAAAUCCCCGGGCUCAACCUGGGAAUUGCAUUUGUGACUGCACGGCUAGAGUGUGUCAGAGGGGGGUAGAAUUCCACGUGUAGCAGUGAAAUGCGUAGAGAUGUGGAGGAACACCGAUGGCGAAGGCAGCCCCCUGGGCCAAUACUGACGCUCAUGCACGAAAGCGUGGGGAGCAAACAGG